rnacentral:rRNA from 1 species
AGCCGCCUAGGGUAAAACCGGUAAUUGGGGCUAAGUCGUAACAAGGUAGCCGUAUCGGAAGGUGCGGCUGGAAUACCUCCUUUUUAGAGCUCAUU